rnacentral:rRNA from 1 species
AUGGCGCAGAAAUCGCGCACGGUUCCCUCACAUCGACUAUCCCUUGUCGAGCUAGCCAAGCAACAGAAACUAUAUGAACCUAGCUCCGAUGACCAAGACUGCCCCAUAGUUAAAGCUAUAAGUAUACCAAAGGGUGAACUCGACAACGGUCCUCGCGGUUGGCGAGCGAGACAGUCCAAACUAGCUUAUUCAUAUUACCCAUUGGCGGCUUCACCGCGAACUGAUACAGCUUUAUGUCUGGGUACUAGGAUGGUAUCCAAAGAUGGAGACUUAUAUGAAGAAUUUAUCCCACCAGAACAUGCACUAGACCCCUCCCUUUGCCAAUUCCCUGACUUCUUACCGGACCUAUUAUCCGCACAUGAUCAGCUUGCCAAGAACAAUGGCGGCCACGUGACUUUCCAGGUCUGCACCCAUCCUGUAGGACCCUGCUACCGGAUUAGGGGAUGGCCCAUCCAUUUCAUUAUCGGCUGGAUGGGGGUUUAUCUGAAGAAUGUAUUUGGUAAACGAGCAAAAGUGAGCAAAUUUCCAACUCCUAAGCUUUGUCCAGGGAAAUUAUCUAUGGUGGGGACUAUGUUUAGGAUUCCACACGAUUUUGGCCCUGAAAAGGCGCACGAUUUCUUCGAGAAACACAAGAGUAUUGUGUGGUACCCCUCAAAUUUCUCUGACUUGGCUAGCACUCGUUGGCUGCAAAAAGCAUUCACCAUUUCCAUCCAUCGAGGGAUGCUACCGUGGAGAAGGUCCGAUUAUGAUGACGACUUGUGCAUUGUUGAGCCGUAUCAUCCCGACCGGGUGGCUCGACAAUUCAAAUUGGAUCAGCAAGUACCAUAUACUCCAUUGCGCAGUUUAUAUAUAAUAGAUGACAUUAGUGUUGCUUAUGCACACUGGUGGCAUUUAUUGCACUCGAAUCCGAAACAGCCUCACUAUAUUCCCAACAAAGAUUUUAUGGGCAAUUCCUCAGUGGCAUGGACAAACUGGUGGACCAUUUUCACCCAACCUUUCACCAGCGUUCUAGGCCAGCUUCGUCAAGGUAACAUGCACGGGCGAGAUUCCUAUGAAGAAAGGCUUGCCAAAUAUGUGAAUAAUGGGAAGAAACAUAUUUUUUCUCGCAAGAUUUUGGAAGGGGAUCUUGUCGUAGUAAAGAGGGUGUCUGCUGAACGGCAAGAGGAAUAUCUUGCAGCUAUUGAGGUGAGAGAAAUGCCGACAGUGAAUCAUUGGAGGGACAUCUUAAGAGGUUACCACUUGGAUAACAAUGCCCCGCCACCUUGGUUGCAACAGAAGCGGAAAAAUAAUCCAAAUGAUGUUGCUGCAAGAAGGAGGGUACUGACAUUUUGGUUGAUAGGAACUCAGAGGAACCUAGUCCAAAUGCAACAAUCUCUUCCGGUGGGGAGGAAAGACCUGCUGUAA